AUGAACAAGAAGAAGCCUUUCCUGGGCAUGUCAGCAUUGCUGGGCUACAUACCCGAGGUGGGCCAUGGUGCCACUGUCUUCACCACUGGAUCAGACACUGGGCCUGCUCGAGAUGCAAAUGAUUCUGUGGAUGAUUGCCAUGCCCUACCAGGGAAGAGAACUGUGGGGGAUCAGAUGAAAAAAAAAUCAGGCCGAUGAUGAUGAUGAUGAUGAUGAUGAUGAUGAUGAUGAUGAUGAUCUGAAUUAAACCAACUAUGAAGAGUUUAAAGGCUAUGCUGGGAUCCUCUUCUCAAGUGGGCCCUAUGAAAAAGACGAUGAGGAAGUGGAUGCUAUUUACACAGCUCUGGAUAAAAGAAUGGAUGAAAAAAAAAGAGAAAACAGGGCAAAGGAAGAAAGAAGAAAUUGAGAAAUACCAAAUGGAACAUCCCAAAAUCCAGCACCAAUUUUCAGAUCUUAAGAGGAAGUUGGCAGAAGUCACAGAAGAAGAGUGGCUGAGCAUCCCAGGAGUUGGUGAUGCCAGAAAUAAACAUCAACGGAACCCACAUUAUGAGAAGCUGACCCCUGUUCCUGAUAGUUUCUUUGCCAAACAUUUAUAAAGUGGAGAGAACCAUACUUCUGUGGAUCCCCGACAAACUCAAUUUGGAGAUCUGAACACACCCUAUCCAGGAGGCCUGAACAGUCCAUACCCAGGUGGAAUGACACCAGGGUUGAUGACACCUGGUACAGAAGAGCUGGACAUGAGUGAGGAAGGUUGGCCAGGCAAGGAAUACCCUGAUGGACAUGAGGCUUAGCCAGGUGUCUGACUCAGUGAGUGGGCAGACUGUUGUGGACCCCAAAGGCUAUCUGACAGAUCUAAAUUCUAUGAUCCCAAACCAUGGUGUAAUGAGGCAUGGAACAUAAAUGACAGCAAGAAAGCAUGACUACUUCUCAAAUUUGUGCGAGAAACAAACCCUCAUCAUCCACCAGCUUGGAUUGUGUCAGCUCUCCCAGAGGAAGUCACUGGAAAGUUACAAGUGGCUCAAAACCUUAUUAUAAAAGGGACAGAGAUUUGCCCCAAGAGUGAAGAUGUCUGGCUAGAAGCAGCUAGGUUACAGCCUGGGGACACAGCCAAGGCUGUGGUGGCACAAGCAGUCUGUCAUCUCCCACAGUCUGUGAGGAUUUACAUUAGAGCACCAGAACUAGAAACAGACAUUCAAGCAAAGAAGCAUGUUUUUCGGAAAGCCCUUGAGCACGUUCCAAAUUCUGUUCAAUUGUGGAAAGCAGCUGUUGACCCUGGAGAGCCUGAAGAUGCUAGAAUCAUGCAGAGCCGAGAGGUAGAGUGCUGUCCCACCAGUGUAGAGCUCUGACUUCCUUUGACAAGACUAGAAACUUAUGAAAAUGCUAGAAAGGUCAUAAAUAAAGCACGUGAGAACAUUCCUACAGAUCGUCACAUCUGGAUCACAGCUGCCAAGCUUGAGGAGGCCAAUGGGAACACUCAGAUGGUGGAGAAGAUCACUGACAGAGCCAUCACCUCUCUUUGGGCCAACGGUGUAGAGAUCAGUCGCAAACAGUGGGUCAAGAGUGCUGAGGAGUGUGACAGAGCAGACUAGGUUGUCUUGUAUGCUGUAAUCAGUAUCGGGGUUGAAGAGGAAGAUCACAAACACACCUGGAUGGAAGACACUGACUGUUGUGUGGCUCACAAUGCCCUGGAGUGUGUACCAGCCAUAUAUGCCUAUGCCCUACAAGUCUUCCCCAGCAAGAAAAGUGUGUGGUCACAAGCUGCAUACUUUGAGAAGAACCAUGGUACCAGGCAGUCCCUGGAAGCAUUCUUGCAGAGGGCUGUGGCCUACUGCCCCAAGGCAGAGGUGCUGGGGCUCAUGGGUGCCGGUCAAAGUGGCUGGCAGGGAUGUACCUGCAGCAAGGAGCAUCCUGGCCCUGGUCUUUCAGGACAACCCCAACAGCAAAGAGAUCUUGUUGGAGGCUGUGAAGCUGGAGUCAGAAAACUAUGAACACAAGAGAGCCCGGAGGCUACUGGCCAAGGCUCGGAGCAGCGCACGCAUUGCCAGCGUGUUCAUGAAGUCUGUGAAGCUGGAGUGGGUGCUGGGGAACAUCACCACUGUGCAGGAGCUGUGUGAGAAGGCUCUGAAGCACUAUGAAGAUUUUCCUAAACUGUGGAUGAUGAAGGGACAGAUUGAGGAGCAGGAAGAACUGUUGGAGAAGGCCCUGGAGGCCUAUAAUCAGGAGCUGAAGAAAGGUCCUCACUCCACACCACUAUGGCUCUUUGCUUUCCAGGCUAAAGGAAAAGAUUGGACAGCUGACUCCUGCUCGGGCCAUUUUAGAGAAUUCUUGUCUGCAAAAAACAAAGAACCCUGGGCUAUGGUUGGAGUCAGUGUAGCUGGAGUACUGAGUAGGGCUGAAGAACAUUGCCAAUACCCUCAUGGACAAGGCGUUGCAAGAGUGCCCUAACUCUGGUAUCCUGUGGUCUGAAGCUGUCUUCCUCAAGGCAAAGCCCCCAGAGAAAGACCAAGCGUGUGGAUGUCCUGAAGAAGUGUGAACAUGACCCCCAUGUGUGGGGUGCUGUGGCUAAGCUGUUCUGAAGUGAGCCAAAGGUCACCAAGGCUCAGGAGUGGGUCCAUUGCAUUGGCAUUGUGAAGAUUGACUCAGAUCUGGAAGACACCUGGGCCUUCUACAAAUUUGAACUACAGCGUGGCACUGAGGAGUAACAGGAGGAAGUGAGGAAAUGCUGUGAGAAUGCAGAGCCCUGACAUGGAGAGCUGUGGUGUGCUGUGUCUAAGGAUAUAACCAACUGGCAAAGAAAGACUGGGGAAAUCGUAGUGCUGGUGGCUGCCUGCAUCAAUACCUUCUGA